GAUGAACGCUGGCGGCGUGCCUAAUACAUGCAAGUCGAGCGAACGGACGAGAAGCUUGCUCCUCUGAUGUUAGCGGCGGACGGGUGAGUAACACGUGGAUAACCUACCUAUAAGACUGGGAUAACUUCGGGAAACCGGAGCUAAUACCGGAUGAUAUAUUGAACCGCAUGGUUCAAAAGUGAAAGACGGUUUUGCUGUCACUUAUAGAUGGAUCCGCGCUGCAUUAGCUAGUUGGUAAGGUAACGGCUUACCAAGGCAACGAUGCGUAGCCGACCUGAGAGGGGGAUCGGCCACACUGGAACUGAGCCACGGUCCAGACUCCUACGGGAGGCAGCAGUAGGGAAUCUUCCGCAAUGGGCGAAAGCCUGACGGAGCAACGCCGCGUGAGUGAUGAAGGUCUUCGGAUCGUAAAACUCUGUUAUUAGGGAAGAACAUAUGUGUAAGUAACUAUGCACGUCUUGACGGUACCUAAUCAGAAAGCCACGGCUAACUACGUG
rnacentral:rRNA from 1 species